rnacentral:rRNA from 1 species
AGAGUUUGAUCCUGGCUCAGGAUGAACGCUGGCGGCGUGCCUAAUACAUGCAAGUCGAGCGAACCACUUCGGUGGUGAGCGGCGAACGGGUGAGUAACACGUAGGUGAUCUGCCCAUCAGACGGGGACAACGAUUGGAAACGAUCGCUAAUACCGGAUAGGACGAAAGUUUAAAGGUGCUUCGGCACCACUGAUGGAUGAGCCUGCGGCGCAUUAGCUAGUUGGUAGGGUAAAGGCCUACCAAGGCGACGAUGCGUAGCCGACCUGAGAGGGUGAACGGCCACACUGGGACUGAGACACGGCCCAGACUCCUACGGGAGGCAGCAGUAGGGAAUCUUCGGCAAUGGGCGAAAGCCUGACCGAGCAACGCCGCGUGAAUGAUGAAGGCCUUCGGGUUGUAAAAUUCUGUUAUAAGGGAAGAAUGACUCUAGUAGGAAAUGGCUAGAGUGUGACGGUACCUUAUGAGAAAGCCACGGCUAACUACGUGCCAGCAGCCGCGGUAAUACGUAGGUGGCGAGCGUUAUCCGGAAUUAUUGGGCGUAAAGAGCGCGCAGGUGGUUGAUUAAGUCUGAUGUGAAAGCCCACGGCUUAACCGUGGAGGGUUAUUGGAAACUGGUCAACUUGAGUGCAGAAGAGGGAAGUGGAAUUCCAUGUGUAGCGGUGAAAUGCGUAGAGAUAUGGAGGAACACCAGUGGCGAAGGCGGCUUCCUGGUCUGUAACUGACACUGAGGCGCGAAAGCGUGGGGAGCAAACAGGAUUAGAUACCCUGGUAGUCCACGCCGUAAACGACGAGUGCUAAGUGUUGGGGGUCGAACCUCAGUGCUGAAGUUAACGCAUUAAGCACUCCGCCUGGGGAGUACGGUCGCAAGACUGAAACUCAAAUGAAUUGACGG